rnacentral:rRNA from 1 species
UACGGAGGGGACUAGCGUUGUUCGGAAUUACUGGGCGUAAAGCGCACGUAGGCGGAUUUGUAAGUCAGGGGUGAAAACCCGGGGCUCAACUCCGGGCCUGCAGCCGAUACGGGCAGACUAGAGUUCGGCAGGGGAGACUGGAAUUCCUGGUGUAGCGGUGAAAUGCGCAGAUAUCGUCAAGAACACCGAUAGCGAAGGCAGCUUACUAGACUGUAACUGACGCUGAGGCACGAAAGUGUGGGGAUCAAACAGG